UCUUAAACAAUUAUUAGAGUCAUUUUUGGUUUUUUCCAACAAGUCUUUUGAUUUUUCAAUCUCACAUAAACCAACGUUUUGAAUUAUUAUAAUAUUUGUUGGCUGUUGAAUUUUGCCCACAUUCAUAUCCUUCACCUUUUGUAUUCUCACAGUUUACAAUAAAAAAAUGCUUUCCAAUUCCAUCAUUCAAUUAUGUCUGCAGAAGGAUUGUUAAUAAAAGGGCACAAUAGAACAGCAAAUUUUCAAAUCCUGCUAACCCUAAAAUUCCAUAGUCCAUUCAUAUACUAUCUUUUCCUCUUUCAUUUUCCCAUCGUUCAUUCAGAGAGAAAAAGUCACCAACCUCUCUAUAUUCCAUCUGUUUUUUCUUCUCUCUAUCUCAAUCCAUUUCAUUCUCUCUUAUGAUACCACUUCUUUUAAAUUCUUCACCGCUGUCUUCUUCCCUUUCUCUUCAUAUCACCCUACAAAAUUAAUUUUCUCUUCCUUUCUCUCUAUUUUUUAUCCUCUUUCCAUUAUUUUCCUCCAUGAAAUUUUAUUUGCAAUUCUAUCAUAUAUCAGAAGCUUACGAAAUUCCGUUUGUAUCGAAUGGAAAACUGAAUACUGAAGGGAGUUGCUGCUAUAUUGUUAUUAAUGCCUAUAAAUGAUAUCAUCAAUUUGAGAUGUUGGAGAUUUAUUUAGGGGUUUAUAAUUUCUGAAUCUUAGUUUUGUUUUAGAAGGAGAAAUUUUAGUUAUCUUAUAGGCUACGAUUAUAAUGUUAUUAUUUAUAUAAUAUUUGAUGUUUCUUUA